rnacentral:misc_RNA from 1 species
GUCUGCAUUCAAUCCUUAAUCAUUUAUUAAACCUGGGUGAAAUCAUUUCAGUAUUAUAGCUUUGUCAGAAUAUGUGUUGUGUUGGUCCAUUGAACAAUAUGUAUGCUUGACACACCUAUUGCUAUACAGUUAGGCACUUGUCUGUCUAUUGCUUGUGAGUGGAGCUCUCUUAUGACCUGCUAGGAAGAGCCCAUCCUUCCAUACUGGCACCUAGAUAUCUUCCACAUAAUUGGCUGCAGUCACUUUUCCAUCAUUUUCUUUUUAUUUAGACUGGCAUCUGAUCCUUAUGAUGGGACUAAUUAUGUGCUUU